CGCAGAGCUGCACACACUUCCUGUGCUCGCCCGAGUUGUUGAUAAACAGCAGCGAGCAUAUGAGAAAAACAGUUUCUGGCAUUUUGUCUUUGAACAGACUGACUGACACUUUUAUUUAUCUCCUAAACCAGUAGUGUGACGAUCCGUAGUCUGCCAUGUCUCUGCAAUUACACGCUGAACAAUGAGACUUCUCUACUCAGGGCACUGAUGGAUUUUGUAAAAGUGUUUGCUACAGCUGUGACACACAUCAUUUUGUCUGUCUCAUCACUUCAUGCUGCUUAUUGGCUGUUCAAGAACCACAGAGCAUCCUCAUUGGGCUUCAUCCUGAUUGGCUGUUCCUCCAUUCUUUCAUUCUUUUCUCCCAGUAACCAUAACAUCACGAAUGAUCUGGAAUGGGCAGGUGAAUCACUUGGACCUGUGUUUUUUACAUUUGACCUUCUGUGGCUUAGUGACGACCACAUCACAGCCCGCAUCCUCCUGAUUGGCUCCAGUUUUUUCAUAAUACUGUCCGAUUGGCUGUCGUCAGAUGGAUUGGUCAUUAUGUCCCGCUGCCUGGCCUUCUCUACGCUUUCCUGUUCGCUGACAGUGUGUGCUUUUGCCGAAAAUGUUGCAGGGGCAGUGGGAAGUGUUGCCCUCAGUCUCCCUUUAUUAGUUUCCCCAAGGAGCAAAUCUGGAGCUUUGGGUUUCCUUAUGUUGCCUACAGAAGGACUCCUCAGAGGGAUGCUUAAUGUCAUAAUGGCAUUAGGUUGCUGGACUACCAGGAAAGCCCUUAAUAAAUUUCUGAUUGAUUUGAAAAGCUGGGACUGACUUGGGAGGGAAGCAACGAUUUCCAAAGUCAACCAUUUCUUCAUUGUUCUCAUGUUAUUAGCAUAUAUACACACUGCUAAUGUGAUAUUGUUGUAUGUAAAGGCCUUCUGUCAUAAGCUAAUGUUGCAGUACUGUAUGUUUCACUACACAAAGUAGAGUUUGCUUGAAAUCCAUUACAGUGACACUAAAGGCUUGUAAAAACCCUUAGCAAUGAAUAAAUAGUUCAGCAUCAUGAACAAUACAGCCCUUUGUAAAGAAAGAAUGGGACUCUGUUUAAACCAGGGUUGUCAUGACUUCAUAUUAUAAUCAGGUUGCCCAUGGCAAAUUUACAUACUGCUUUAAAUUCAAUCAUUUCUCUAAAUGUCAAAUUGCAACAUAACCCUGUUUAUGCAGUUUUGGAUUGAUGGUUCAUAAAAAUAAAUACAUCUUGGGUACACUCUUAAAAAUAAAGGUUCUUUAUUGGUAUUUAUAUUUCGAUGGAAAAUCUUUAACAUUCAAGAAAGAUUUCCAUUGCAUAAAAAGGUUAUUUUUAGGGAAUGUUAUUUUUGAUACAAAACUAAACCAUUUUUGUAUCAAAAAUAACAUUCCCUAUAAAGAACCUUUUUUGUUACGUUUCUGUUACGUUUUGUCGUUACGUUUCUGUUACGUUUCGAACACAGGUAUGCAACAGAAUGUUAGUGGUGUUUGUGAGUCCCCAUGAGGCAAACUCUAAAAAGAUUUAUUCAGUAAUUAAGGGAGGGUUUCAAGAGAGACUUCAAAAAGUUCUCUAACUCAUAGAAAGGGGGAACUAAAUAAUCUAUCAAAGAAAAGAAAAGAAAAGAAAAAAUACAUCAAAAUACCCUCACUCUCUUACUAACAUAAACAGGAGAAAAAACUAUUACAAAAAGAAAAAUGGCACCCCCUCUCUACUAACCCGAUCCCAAAUUAACAAAACAGAGUCAAUAACAAAGUAGUAUUGAAACAUCAAAAGUAAUCUCUUAAGCAAAAGAGUUUCUGAAGCAAAAUCGACAUAAGAUUGACAACAGCAUUAACAGAAGUUAAACUAAUUAAAGCUUCUAGUCAACAGAUAAUGCUUUAAAGGAUCAAAAAUGUAAAGCCUCACAAAAGAGCCUCCGCACACACAAAACACACUGUUCUAGUAGAGACAAUAUUUCUAGUCAAUAUUUUGACAAAUUUGACAUUUUAUAUACAGUAUGUCAAAUCCAAAUGUAUUUUGCAUGUUAUAUAUCAUGCCAUAGGUCAGCUUUUCGAAAUGGGGAUGUGCAGUGAGAAAUACUUUUGUUAACUUAACUU